AUUUUUCUGAGUUUCAAAGUUAUAAUUUAAACUAAAAAAGUCAAAUCUAAAUUUGAGACCUCAAGAUUUAGUACUACUAUUAUUUAUUUUUAAGAACAUAAUUUCAAAAUAAGAAAACAUGUAUUAAAUGACAUUUUAAUCUAAGUUCCUUGGAAAUUCUUCUUGAAUCCCAAAAUCCAGAUUUGGGGUGUUUACAUUAGAUGAUCGAGUUAAGCAAUGUCCGGGCACAUCUAUUUGAAUUCAUUGUCUGAAACUGAAGUGAACUUCGGUAGGCAAAGUCUGCUUAAUGCAGUGCUCGUUGAAAAGAGUGUUCAGUUUCAGGUUAGGAAAGUAGUAGCAUAGUUGAAAAACAUGGGUGAAUCAACAGUUACCAGAUUGUAGUAGUGUAACUGUGUAACAGUUGAAAAGGAGUACUGGAAGGCCUGAGUUAGUAGCAGGGUAGCAGCAUAGUUAACCAAUGUCUGAUUAAGAAUUCAGUUGAAAAGAAGUUAAGUUUCAAGGGGUGUUUGGGAGUGAAGUUUUUUCACAGUUUUGGAAGAAUACUGCAGUAUUCUCAAAUACUGCAGUAUUAUAUACAUAAUGGUGUUUGACAAGCUGGCUAAAAUCUCUGUUUUCAAAACUGAAGUAUUGCAAAUACUAUAGUUGUUUUAAGGUAUUCUAAACUUAGGUCUGGACCUCAGUUUUCAAAAUUGUGGUAUUGUAAACUGCGGUAUUGUCAUGACUAAAGUAUACUGUAGUAUUUCAAAAACUGUAGUUUUCAAAACUUUGUUCCCAAACAGGGCCUCAGUGUAUCAGGGUUGCAUGAGAUUCAGUGUAGCAGGGUAGCAGGGGAUUCGGUGUAGCAGAGUUUCAGUUGAGUUGAGUUCAGUUCAGUUAAAAUGAGUUCAGUUCAGUUGCUAUGUUGGUCUUCAGUUAACAUCACAAUGUUUCAUGCAGGCACCCCCGAAUCCCCUGCGUCCAGCACCUCAUCCA
rnacentral:lncRNA from 1 species